rnacentral:rRNA from 1 species
GAUGAACGCUAGCUACAGGCUUAACACAUGCAAGUCGAGGGGUAACGAGAGGAAAGCUUGCUUUCCUUGUCGACGACCGGCGCACGGGUGAGUAACGCGUAUCCAACCUGCCCCCAACUAGGGAAUAACCUUGCGAAAGUAAGACUAAUACCCUAUAAUUUCCUCAUAUGCCAUCUGACGAGGAAUAAAGAUUUAUUGGUUGUGGAUGGGGAUGCGUCUGAUUGGCUUGUUGGCGGGGUAACGGCCCACCAAGGCAACGAUCAGUAGGGGUUCUGAGAGGAAGGUCCCCCACAUUGGAACUGAGACACGGUCCAAACUCCUACGGGAGGCAGCAGUGAGGAAUAUUGGUCAAUGGGCGGAAGCCUGAACCAGCCAAGUAGCGUGCAGGAUGACGGCCCUAUGGGUUGUAAACUGCUUUUAUACAGGAAUAAAGUUAGCCACGUGUGGUUAUUUGUAGGUACUGUAUGAAUAAGGACCGGCUAAUUCCGUGCCAGCAGCCGCAGUAA